GGGCUGCUGGCGGCGCCCCGGCCGCGCUGUGUCCCCUCCCCGACCGCCGCCACCCGCGCACCGUGGCAGUUAUGUAAGUACGUAUAGGACUUCUGGCAGAUACAUACGUUACGGGGUGUGCGGGGGGGUGCCAAUUCAGUGCUGUGGAUGAGUGGAUUCUGACUUAUUCUUGCAUUAAUGAUACUACGGCUUAUGUGGCUGUAUGGAAGGCACGUUGAUUCUAUGUGGCGCUCCAGGUGCCCGUAGUGAAGGAGGUAUACAUAUGAAGAAGAAGGAUCCUGCUGUACCCUCGCGACAGUAUAGAUCUGCGGGUAACCCCCCCGAGGACGCUGCGUUAAGCUGUGCUCGUGUUGUAGAGUAACCGAGCAAGAAAUUUUGGCGAAACUUUUGAUUCAAAGGCAUCAGCAACAGGAUUCAAACAAACGAUACUUCAUAACUUGAGCGCUGGCCAGUUGCAGUUAAGUUUGGUGGAAAGGUAGAAGUUUCAAAGAUGUGAAGAUCCUGUACGUGAAAGCAGGUGCUGUGGUGAAAGGGAAUGUCACGGCUCCUCCGGUGAGGAGGAGGAGGCUGUGUAUCCUCAGGCUGUGUUAGACCCAUGUAGGAUCAACAGAACCUUCUUCCCCUUGCCAGAGAGACUUGAUUUUGACACUUCUCUCUACUACCAGGGCAUUUUAUCCAUUACAGGAAAGUGAGUUAGCACAGCUGGAGGGUAUAUUUUAUGCGGAUUUAAUUCCUGAAAGGAUGGACUAGAGAAGAUCUCUCACACAAAAGUGCUUUUCUUCCGUGUCUACGUUUCUUUGAGUACUGUGUUUCAGUCAGACUCUGAGCAGAUGUUUGUAAGAGAGAGACUAGAUUUACUACUGUUAUUUAAUUUGCAUCCUAGGGCGGUUACUGAAUGCACACUGGGCUUGCAAGCAGCGGUACAAAAAAUGAUGGAGGCUGUGUUUAACUCUUCAUUACCUGAGCAGUGUCAUUCUGCUUCCUGAGGGAUAUGCUUUUCAAAUAAAUGUUUUAACUUGGCACUUUACCUGGAUCUCUACUUGAGAGCUCUGUUGGAUCAGAGGCUUAGGAAGGAAAUUGUUUUAAAAAUACUUUACAGAAAUUGAAUUAUAUUUUUUUAACUAGUAACUAAUUUUAAGUUAUAGUGUCUUAAAAAUUAUUUAGCUUAGCAAUUUCUGUAAGUUCUGUUGGUUUUUUUUUUUGGUUGGUUUUUUUUCCUAAUUGGAGACCUUUUUGGCUGUCCCUACAAAAAGGCCUGUGAUCCUUGGUUCUGAGAUUAUAUGUUAAUGAUAAGCUUGAGAUGCCAUCAGUAGUCAAAAAUACUGACAAAUCCUUUAUGGUAGAAUACUGUAAGGUGGUUUAGCCUGUAAGUGAAUCGCUGCUUUCAUUUUUAUUAGGGAGUGUUGAGAGCUUCAUUCCCCUUCCUGUUUGGUUAGAUUACUUUUGUGCAUUUUGACAGCAAACCUGCUUGUUCUAGGUGGUGUUGGGAAUGAUUUUGUCACGAGCACUGGGCUGAGAGUAGUUCUUCACUCUUCCCAAGCAGCUAGCUUUGCAGUUGCUGUUUACACAGUACUUCACAUUGCGCACUCUUAGUGUAUAACAACCUACUUAGGAUUCUUUUAAAUACUUGUGAAUUUUCCCUUUUAUAAAUAAGGUUAAAUAAAACUUUAAAAUGAACUCUUGUUUCAAGCAGCUUUUUGUCUUUACUUUUUGACUUUUAACUUCUUGCUUGAAGUAGAACAAUAAAACAUUGUGUUUUGUGCCUAUUUACCCUGUGUUUUUUAAUGUAGUUAUGAUAUUUCCCGUUACUGUUCUUCCAGCCUCUGUUUUCAGCUCAGGGCACUUUCCAAGCUGGAUGUAGUCUUGUAUCAUUUGCAACUCGCAGAGGAUGAAAAUUUUGAGAAGAAAUUAUUUUCUCCUUCGGCUCAUAUAAACCUUUACCAUUCACAACUUCAAAUAUAUGAUAAUACACUGGCAAAAAGAAGUAUCUUCUGUAUAUGAAUCUGAAACUUAUUAUUUCUCUAGUAAAAAUAAAUGUGAUAGGCAUGAUAAAUACACUUCUUUGAGCUAUAUGCCAGUGAUUGAAGUAAACUUCCAUCUUAGGAUUUUAUUUUUUCUUUUAAAUUAAAUUCUUGCAGGGCGGUAACUUUUGAACUGACCUACAGAGCACCUCUUGGUUGUGAAUGGAAAUCUGACAGGUUAGAUGAUAAGAGCUCUCUUCCUUGUUUCCCCUUGCCUGGAUUUUAAUUUUUUAAUUUUAGAAAAAUGGCUGUUGAUAACUCUACAUCCUUUUUCUGGAAAUUAAAACCCCAAAAGAUCUUUUGCUGCUCUUGCAUACUCUCCAGUCCAAACAGUACUGUAAUUGUUGUGGCUUUUAGUAGCCCUGUGCAUCUCCCAAGGUCUGGGUAAAUAAUUUUGUAAUAGAGUCUAUUUCAGAGAAAGGCAGCAAGGGGACCACAGAGGUGGAGGGUUCCCACAACUCAGGUGGGGAAUCCAUCUAGAUUGCCUCUGUUCAUUAAAUUGUAGCAAGAGAGGGUCACAAAUAUGAUGAAGAUUUGGAUUUCUAGUACGGAUUGUGAAUUAGUAUUCCCAUAAACUUUUUUACCUUUUGAAGGGGUGAAAGGUAAAAUGAGUAGCAUAUUAAUAGAAUCAUAUUAAAAGAUGUGGCCCAAUGCAGUCUUCAAAACAACUUGCCUUUUCAUCUUAAAAUACAUUCAAGUUACCAAAAUAAGUAAGGCUCAAUCUGAGCUCUAAUUAAAAAAAAAAAAAAAAAAGCAGCUUUUUUUAAAUUUUAUUAUAAAUGCAGCAGGUUGAGGAGAGGAAGACGCCACAAUAAUGAUGUUAAUAAAAGAUAGUGGUAAUGCUCACUGCGUUUGUGGUGGUGUUUUCUUAAGGAAGAGCUCAGUCUGAAGCCUUGCACAAGGAGAGGGGGAAAUCCAAAUUCUUUACUGAAAGCUUGGACUCUUGUCAAAAUGUAAUCUAGCCUUGCCCACAACUGGAAUUCGGAUCGGCAAGGUUUUUUUCCCUUUUAUUUUUUUUUUUCCUCCUUAUGUUGC